GUCCGCAACGAGCGCAACCCUUGUCAUUAGUUGCUACGCAAGAGCACUCUAAUGAGACUGCCGGUGGACAAACCGGAGGAAGGUGGGGAUGACGUCAGGUCCUCAUGGCCCUUAUGGGUAGGGCUACACACGUCAUACAAUGGCCGGUGCAGAGGGCUGCCAACCCGCGAGGGGGAGCCAAUCCCAGAAAACCGGUCGUAGUCCGGAUCGUAGUCUGCAACUCGACUGCGUGAAGUCGGAAUCGCUAGUAAUCGCGGAUCAGCUUGCCGCGGUGAAUACGUUCCCGGGUCUU
rnacentral:rRNA from 1 species